rnacentral:rRNA from 1 species
GACGAACGCUGGCGGCGUGCUUAACACAUGCAAGUCGAACGAUGAACUUGGAGCUUGCUCUGGGGGAUUAGUGGCGAACGGGUGAGUAACACGUGAGUAACCUGCCCUGGACUCUGGGAUAACUUCGAGAAAUCGGAGCUAAUACCGGAUAGGACCUUGCACCGCAUGGUGUGGGGUGGAAAGUUUUUCGGUUUGGGAUGGACUCGCGGCCUAUCAGCUUGUUGGUGAGGUAAUGGCUCACCAAGGCGUCGACGGGUAGCCGGCCUGAGAGGGAGACCGGCCACACGGGGACUGAGACGCGGCCGAGACUCCAACGGGAGACAGCAGUGGGGAAUAUAGCACACUGGGCGCAGGCCUGAUGCAGCAACGCCGCGUGCGGGAUGACGGCAUUCGGGUUGUAAACCGCUUUUAGUAGGGAAGAAGCCUUCGGGUGACGGUACCUGCAGAAAAAGGACCGGCUAACUACGUGCCAGCCGCCGCAGUAA